rnacentral:rRNA from 1 species
AGUGAACGCUGGCGGUAGGCCUAACACAUGCAAGUCGAACGGCAGCACAGUAAGAGCUUGCUCUUACGGGUGGCGAGUGGCGGACGGGUGAGGAAUACAUCGGAAUCUACUUUUUCGUGGGGGAUAACGUAGGGAAACUUACGCUAAUACCGCAUACGACCUACGGGUGAAAGCAGGGGAUCUUCGGACCUUGCGCGAUUGAAUGAGCCGAUGUCGGAUUAGCUAGUUGGCGGGGUAAAGGCCCACCAAGGCGACGAUCCGUAGCUGGUCUGAGAGGAUGAUCAGCCACACUGGAACUGAGACCCGGUCCAGACUCCUACGGGAGGCAGCAGUGGGGAAUAUUGGACAAUGGGCGCAAGCCUGAUCCAGCCAUACCGCGUGGGUGAAGAAGGCCUUCAGGUUGUAAAGCCCUUUUGUUGGGAAAGAAAAGCAGCAGGUUAAUACCCCGCUGUUCUGACGGUACCCAAAGAAUAAGCACCGGCUAACUUCGUG